rnacentral:rRNA from 1 species
UCGUAACAAGGUCUCCGUUGGUGAACCAGCGGAGGGAUCAUUGCUGGAACGCGCUUCGGCGCACCCAGAAACCCUUUGUGAACUUAUACCUAUUGUUGCCUCGGCGCAGGCCGGCCUCUUCACUGAGGCCCCCUGGAAACAGGGAGCAGCCCGCCGGCGGCCAACCAAACUCUUGUUUCUAUAGUGAAUCUCUGAGUAAAAAAACAUAAAUGAAUCAAAACUUUCAACAACGGAUCUCUUGGUUCUGGCAUCGAUGAAGAACGCAGCGAAAUGCGAUAAGUAAUGUGAAUUGCAGAAUUCAGUGAAUCAUCGAAUCUUUGAACGCACAUUGCGCCCUCUGGUAUUCCGGAGGGCAUGCCUGUUCGAGCGUCAUUUCAACCCUCAAGCCUGGCUUGGUGAUGGGGCACUGCCUGUAAUAGGGCAGGCCCUGAAAUCUAGUGGCGAGCUCGCCAGGACCCCGAGCGUAGUAGUUAUAUCUCGCUCUGGAAGGCCCUGGCGGUGCCCUGCCGUUAAACCCCCAACUUCUGAAAAUUGACCUCGGAUCAGG